GGGGGCGUAAAGGUUUCGACGGGGACUGUGCAGUAUGGUAAGCGAGUCGAGACGCAUGAUCUCGUUAAAAUGUGCACCUUAAAAUUAAACGCAGAAGAUAACUACAGCAAUUUUGCGCUUGCUGCUUAGUUAAGCAGCCGUCCGAACCGGGGGGACCGCGACCCGGCAAGGGCGUCACUUUAGCGGUGAACGUUCCAUGGGAGUUCCACGGCCCGCGGAAUGUAUUAGGGAUACCGAACCCGUGAGCCCGCCGGCCGGCGCACGGGCAAGGGAAUUUUAAAAGGCACGGCUGCACUCGGAGAAAGCUGUAUGAAUUGGUUUUCGGACGCGGGUUCGAUUCCCGCCGCCUCCACCA
rnacentral:tmRNA from 1 species